rnacentral:misc_RNA from 1 species
AGAGUCAUGUUUAUGCUGCCAGUCCCUGAACUAAGAGGGUGAAAGUCUGGUGGAGUGAAUGGAGACGCGGAAAAAUUGGAUAAAAGGGGGAAAACGACAGUGAAGUGAACAAGUGACACAGGUAGCAGAAAAGGAAGCUAAAAUAAUGAAGCACAGACUAUAAACAGUGAUGCAAAACAAGUGGCGUGGAGAGUGCAAACGAAGCUUCUCUCUGGCAUGCUGAACAGCUCUGGGCCAAGGAAAAGCCGAGGCCAAACGAAGGGCCAAUGUGAAACCCGAGGAGGCCUAAGCUAGCAACUCUUAUGCAUAGCUCGAUCAAUCACUGCAUCAUGGAUGACGGGAAGGUAAAGUGCAUUCGGCUGGUCAGCAUUUUCGUGGUGAGCAGCGUCCUGUGCGCCGCGCUGUACUGCCGACUCGUCUGGGAAACCACGAGCCCAGUGCUACAAUGCUCCGAAAUUUCCUUCUCGAUACCUGUGUCCACUGGGUUCAUGUAGUCGCAUUAUGAUCGUAAAACAGCUGCUUGAGACAGCAAGACUCAAGAAUGACGUCUUGCAAAUGAGCGUGUCCAGCGAUGGUUUGUGACGUCAUAUGUAAAUAAAAAUCUGAUUCGCAUGA